rnacentral:rRNA from 1 species
CUUUACUGUAGCCUGGUAUUGGGUUCGGGCUUUGACUGCGCAGGAUAGGUGGGAGACUAUGAAGCUGCCCUUGUGGGGGCAGUGGAGUCAUCAGUGAGAUACCACUCUGUCAAGGCUAGAAUUCUAACCGUCUGCCGUUAUCCGGCGACGAAACAGUAUCAGGUGGGCAGUUUGACUGGGGCGGUCGCCUCCUAAAUGGUAACGGAGGCGCGCAAAGGUUCCCUCAGGCUGGUUGGAAAUCAGCCGAAGAGUGUAAAGGCAGAAGGGAGCUUGACUGCAAGAGCAACAACUCAAGCAGGGACGAAAGUCGGCCUUAGUGAUCCGACGGCGCUGAGUGGAAGGGCCGUCGCUCAACGGAUAAAAGUUA